UACGGAGGAUGCAAGCGUUAUCCGGAAUGAUUGGGCGUAAAGCGUCCGCAGGUGGCGAUGUAAGUCUGCUGUUAAAGAGUGAGGCUCAACCUCAUAAGAGCAGUGGAAACUACAUAGCUAGAGUACGUUCGGGGCAGAGGGAAUUCCCAGUGUAGCGGUGAAAUGCGUAGAGAUUGGGAAGAACACCGGUGGCGAAAGCGCUCUGCUAGGACAAUACUGACACUGAGGGACGAAAGCUAGGGGAGCGAAUGGG
rnacentral:rRNA from 1 species